rnacentral:miRNA from 1 species
AAUGACAGAACAGUGCGCGAG